UACGUAGGCAGCGAGCGUUGUUCGGAGUUACUGGGCGUAAAGGGUGUGUAGGCGGUUGUUUAAGUUUGGUGUGAAAUCUCCCGGCUCAACUGGGAGGGUGCGCCGAAUACUGAAUGACUUGGAGUGCGGGAGAGGAGAUUGGAAUUCCUGGUGUAGCGGUGGAAUGCGCAGAUAUCAGGAGGAACACCGAUGGCGAAGGCAGAUCUCUGGGCCGUAACUGACGCUGAGGAGCGAAAGCGUGGGUAGCAAACAGG
rnacentral:rRNA from 1 species